UACGUAGGGGGCGAGCGUUGUCCGAAGUUACUGGGCGUAAAGCGCGCGUAGGCGGCUGCUUAAGUUAGAUGUGAAAUCCUGUGGCUCAACCACAGAACUGCAUCUAAAACUGGGCAGCUUGAGGACGGAAGAGGGCAGUGGAAUUCCUGGUGUAGCGGUGAAAUGCGUAGAUAUCAGGAGGAACACCCGUGGCGAAGGCGGCUGCCUGGUCCGUAUCUGACGCUGAGGUGCGAAAGCUAGGGGAGCGAAC
rnacentral:rRNA from 1 species